AAAAUGUUAGUACUGUACACCCUUAUUGGGAGAGAGCAGUAGGAGAGGGAGGAGGCCGCGUAGCGGCGGCUCGGUACCGGAGGGGGCUGGGCUUGGUGGCGGCGCGGUACCGCCAAGCCGGCAGCGGUCUAGACGCGGGUCCGGCCUGCUUGUUGCCGGCCGGCUGCGGGGGGCCGCGUCCUAGAAGCAUUUCCUUUCGCUUCAUAGUCCAUAUACGUCACACUACUCAAUCUACUCGACGGAACGUCGUCUUUCGUCUCUGGUACACGGAGUACAACACUUAUCCGUUAUGUCGGCUGAUAAGUCAUAAUGACUCAUUUUCCUACGUAACUGGGAACUAACAUAACCUACAACAACUAAACCACCUCCAACAAAAAAUAGUCGGUGUCUUCCCAUAUAUAUAUUGGUGUUUACCCGACUGGAUUACUAAACCCGACCGUUUAUCCCUACGAAGAAAGGUUUCACUACUUUCUCCCUACGGCAUGGUCUACUCAGAAGUCAAAGGUUAUACAUCAUCGUUAACGAUGUUCUCGACCGACUCUAUUACUAAACCCAACCGUUGAUACUUACCAAAGGAGUUUUCUCCUACCUCUCCUGACGGUCCUAUACGUGUAUAGUCUGUUCAGGAGUCAAAAAAACUCCUUGACGCUCGAGUUCCGUGAUCCUGAUAACUUCAAUGAUUUACGUCAUCGCAGGUUGUAUAAGCAACUGUAGUUUGUGGGACUUCAAUACACGUUACAAGGUGUGGAGUUGUUCCAAACAACAGACGAAGACCUAAAGCUCCACUAUAGUUUCGAAGCUCCUUAUUGGGGAUGUUUUCUUGACCAGAUACUUGUGCCGGUAUUCUUCUUCUACUCGACGGGACGUUACCGUGUAAACUUGAUCGUUCGGUGUGAUGAGAUUCGUUAAGAAGAGUAUGGCACACGAAAAUUAACAACCCAUCCCUGACCUGUCCCUUCCCGGUCUCGAAACACGAAAUAAGAACGACGACAGGAACGGUAAGAACGACAACAGGAACGGUAAGAAAAAUAACGCGGCCCGGAGCAACGCUAGUGCCUAACGGAAGAAGCGUCGUCGUCGUAGGGCCGCGUUGAAGAGUCCAAGCGCCAAGAGGAAGAGGAGCGCCCGUACCCACCGCACUACAGGGCGGUGCUGCAGAGACAAUUUCAUCGGCAAUUUCAUCGGUCCCAAAACGGGCCCGGCGGGCGCCCCUCCCGCUGUGCUCGCCUCAACAAUGUAGUGUACGUGACUGUACCUGAAGUAAUAUACUGACUUGACAGAGGAGCCGCAGGUGAGACCGGUAGAUCGCCAGCAGUGCGCGCGCUGUGGUCUAUUUAUAAGGACUUUUUACUGGUCUAUUUAUAAGGACUACCUCAUGUUAACUGAUGAAAACAUCUUUUUCCAGUUUGUUGUGUUAAACAAUGCAUACUAUCACACUCCGUCGUUGGCUUAACCUUUAGAACCUUCCUACCAACAAAUUAGAUAUCUCUCUAGGGUGAAACGGAAUACCGGACCUUUCAGACCCGUCAAGAGUCAAUUCUCGAAAAUACAAUAGUACGUAUGCGUGGAAGGUUGAUAGGUUGGACGUUCACCGAAACCGUCUCGUCUACGUGAUACUUUUAAUUUCAAAAACCGACCGAGGAAAAGAAACUGUCCGAGUUGUGCUUCCUAUACAACCAGUCUGCCGUAACCGCCAGGGGAAACCUACUAUUGUAUACACAGUAGACAUUACGAAUACAGAUACUUCUAUCUCGUGUAGAAAAGAAACUUACAUUGAAGUCAACGUCCCAAACCUUAAUGAACGUUUAACUAACCUCUGUACCGAGAUCAUAGGUCCUCACAUAGAGGGUUCGUUCCUUUUCUAAACCUGUGGGUAAGAAGAAACUUCACUACGAGUGCUGACGAACCUUAUAAACCUAAGACUCCUUACCUUCUUGGAAGUCCCCCUAUUCCCGAUGAAAACGUCGUACCUCUACAUUAAAACAUGUACUAUAGGAAGUCCCCCUAUCAAAAUCCGUAUCCGAACAACUAACCCAAUUAAGGGAGUGCAUUUCAUUCAAAAGAGAGAUUGAAUCAAAUCCGAACAUUGGAAACUUGGGGACACAUGUCAAAACGAACAAACAAACAACGUUAUUUCCUGGCACCC
rnacentral:rRNA from 1 species